UGCAGUCGAGCGGACAGAAGGGAGCUUGCUCCCGGAUGUUAGCGGCGGACGGGUGAGUAACACGUGGGUAACCUGCCUGUAAGACUGGGAUAACUCCGGGAAACCGGAGCUAAUACCGGAUAGUUCCUUGAACCGCAUGGUUCAAGGAUGAAAGACGGUUUCGGCUGUCACUUACAGAUGGACCCGCGGCGCAUUAGCUAGUUGGUGGGGUAAUGGCUCACCAAGGCGACGAUGCGUAGCCGACCUGAGAGGGUGAUCGGCCACACUGGGACUGAAACACGGCCCAGACUCCUACGGGAGGCAGCAGUAGGGAAUCUUCCGCAAUGGACGAAAGUCUGACGGAGCAACGCCGCGUGAGUGAUGAAGGUUUUCGGAUCGUAAAGCUCUGUUGUUAGGGAAGAACAAGUGCGAGAGUAACUGCUCGCACCUUGACGGUACCUAACCAGAAAGCCACGGCUAACUACGUGCCAGCAGCCGCGGUAAUACGUAGGUGGCAAGCGUUGUCCGGAAUUAUUGGGCGUAAAGGGCUCGCAGGCGGUUUCUUAAGUCUGAUGUGAAAGCCCCCGGCUCAACCGGGGAGGGUCAUUGGAAACUGGGAAACUUGAGUGCAGAAGAGGAGAGUGGAAUUCCACGUGUAGCGGUGAAAUGCGUAGAGAUGUGGAGGAACACCAGUGGCGAAGGCGACUCUCUGGUCUGUAACUGACGCUGAGGAGCGAAAGCGUGGGGGAGCGAACAGGAUUAGAUACCCUGGUAGUCCACGCCGUAAACGAUGAGUGCUAAGUGUUAGGGGGUUUCCGCCCCUUAGUGCUGCAGCUAACGCAUUAAGCACUCCGCCUGGGGAGUACGGUCGCAAGACUGAAACUCAAAGGAAUUGACGGGGGCCCGCACAAGCGGUGGAGCAUGUGGUUUAAUUCGAAGCAACGCGAAGAACCUUACCAGGUCUUGACAUCCUCUGACAACCCUAGAGAUAGGGCUUUCCCUUCGGGGACAGAGUGACAGGUGGUGCAUGGUUGUCGUCAGCUCGUGUCGUGAGAUGUUGGGUUAAGUCCCGCAACGAGCGCAACCCUUGAUUUUAGUUGCCAGCAUUUAGUUGGGCACUUUAAGGUGACUGCCGGUGACAAACCGGAGGAAGGUGGGGAUGACGUCAAAUCAUCAUGCCCCUUAUGACCUGGGCUACACACGUGCUACAAUGGACAGAACAAAGGGCUGCAAGACCGCAAGGUUUAGCCAAUCCCAUAAAUCUGUUCUCAGUUCGGAUCGCAGUCUGCAACUCGACUGCGUGAAGCUGGAAUCGCUAGUAAUCGCGGAUCAGCAUGCCGCGGUGAAUACGUUCCCGGGCCUUGUACACACCGCCCGUCACACCACGAGAGUUUGCAACACCCGAAGUCG
rnacentral:rRNA from 1 species